rnacentral:rRNA from 1 species
AUGCAAGUUGAGCGAAGCUUUUUGGUAGUUUACUACUAGAAAUGACUGAGCGGCGAACGGGUGAGUAACGCGUGAGCAAUCUACCUUAGUUACUGGGAUAGCCCGAGGAAACUCGGAUUAAUACCGGAUAUUCUUAUUUUUUCACAUGAAGUUUUAAGGAAAGGUCAGCCGAACUAAGAUGAGCUCGCGUUCUAUCAGCUAGUUGGUGGGGUAAAAGCCUACCAAGGCUACGACGGAUAGCUGGUCUGAGAGGACGAUCAGCCACACUGGGACUGAGACACGGCCCAGACUCCUACGGGAGGCUGCAGCAGGGAAUAUUGUGCAAUGAGCGAAAGCUUGACACAGCGACACCGCGUGUGGGAUGACGGUUCUAGGAUUGUAAACCACUUUCAGGAGGGAAGAAAAUGACGGUACCUCCACAAGAAGACCCGGCCAACUAUGUGCCAGCAGCCGCGGUAAUACAUAGGGGUCAAGCGUUGUCCGGAUUUAUUGGGCGUAAAGAGCUCGUAGGCGGUUUCAACAAGUCGGUCGUAAAAGUUUAGGGCUCAACCCUAAAAUGUCGAUCGAUACUGUUGUGACUAGGAUACGGUAGAGGUGAAUGGAAUUCCGAGUGUAGCGGUGAAAUGCGUAGAUAUUCGGAGGAACACCAAUUGCGAAAGCAGUUCACUGGACCGUGAUCGACGCUGAGGAGCGAAAGCUAGGGGAGCAAACAGGAUUAGAUACCCUGGUAGUCCUAGCUGUAAACGAUGAAUACUAGAUGUAGGAACUGGAUUGACGGUUUC